rnacentral:ncRNA from 1 species
AACAAAUCAGGUGAUGGAGCUCACCGUUAACUUCCUGCAAAAGGAUAAUGGCUCCUGCGGACGG